rnacentral:rRNA from 1 species
GAUGAACGCUGGCGGCGUGCCUAAUACAUGCAAGUCGAGCGAACAGAUGAGGAGCUUGCUCCUCUGACGUUAGCGGCGGACGGGUGAGUAACACGUGGAUAACCUACCUAUAAGACUGGGAUAACUUCGGGAAACCGGAGCUAAUACCGGAUAAUAUCUUGAACCGCAUGGUUCAAUAGUGAAAGACGGUUUUGCUGUCACUUAUAGAUGGAUCCACGCCGCAUUAGCUAGUUGGUAAGGUAACGGCUUACCAAGGCAACGAUGCGUAGCCGACCUGAGAGGGUGAUCGGCCACACGGGAACUGAGACACGGUCCAGACUCCUACGGGAGGCAGCAGAAUGGAAUCUUCCGCAAUGGGGGAAAGCCUGACGGAGCAACGCCGCGUGAGUGAUGAAGGUCUUCGGAUCGUAAAACUCUGUUAUUAGGGAAGAACAAAUGUGUAAGUAACUAUGCACGUCUUGACGGUACCUAAUCAGAAAGCCACGGCUAACUACGUG